UGGUGGGGUGACUUGUCUGCUUAAUUGCGAUAACGAACGAUACCUUAACCUGCUAAAUAGCCCGCAUUGCUCCGGCAGUGCGCUGGCUUCUUAGAGGGACUUUCGGCUCAAGCCGAAGGAAGUUUGAGGCAAUAACA
rnacentral:rRNA from 1 species